AGUGAACGCUGGCGGUAGGCCUAACACAUGCAAGUCGAACGGCAGCACAGUAAGAGCUUGCUCUUACGGGUGGCGAGUGGCGGACGGGUGAGGAAUACAUCGGAAUCUACUUUUUCGUGGGGGAUAACGUAGGGAAACUUACGCUAAUACCGCAUACGACCUACGGGUGAAAGCAGGGGAUCUUCGGACCUUGCGCGAUUGAAUGAGCCGAUGUCGGAUUAGCUAGUUGGCGGGGUAAAGGCCCACCAAGGCGACGAUCCGUAGCUGGUCUGAGAGGAUGAUCGGCCACACUGGAACUGAGACACGGUCCAGACUCCUACGGGAGGGAGCAGUGGGGAAUAUUGGACAAUGGGCGCAAGCCUGAUCCAGCCAUACCGCGUGGGUGAAGAAGGCCUUCGGGUUGUAAAGCCCUUUUGUUGGGAAAGAAAAGCAGCAGGUUAAUACCCCGCUGUUCUGACGGUACCCAAAGAAUAAGCACCGGCUAACUUCGUG
rnacentral:rRNA from 1 species